UUUAAGUUGUGAUACACGAAGUGUGGUCCUUUGGACAAUACUGUUUACCGAAAGUGUCCAACGGCUUUAAAGAGAGGGUUGCUGUGUAGGAGCAAGGUUUUGCGUAUAAGGGACGGUGAACAUGCCCAAAACUAUUGUGAGUGUUUAAAUUACUUUAAACAAUUAAUAGCUAGCAGAAGACCAUCCAGCCAGCAACUUACAAACCAGUUAGACUUACUUGAACAAAAUAUGUGUUUGAGCCUUGGAUACAAAUUGCCUUAUUAAUGUGACCCAAAUACUAAACUUUCUAUAGACAAGUUUUUCUUCCAAAAAGCAGAUCUCGUUUUCGUCUCGAAUUAUGAUGGAGUGCUUUGUGUGCUGACAUCUUCACUGAGCUGAGAUGGUACUUUCCAGCACGGACUCAUGUGUCAUGCAAAACAUUUGUCUCUUGUGGAGUGGUGACUACAACCAAACCGUAAACCUGUUGGGAUGAGCAUUAGCAUCGUUGUACAAUGAGGGGGUGACUAUAACUGGACCUGUUUGAAUGUGCAUCGUUGGAGGAUAUGGAACGAUGUUAUACGAUCAUUGGUUGAGGAGGUGAAAAGAGUCAACAGCAGACUGCUCAAUAUGAGAUGAUGGGAAUUGAUGACCACAUACAUGAAUCAUUGCUUUUUGGAGUGUGAGCCAACAACUGAAGGAGGACUUUUUUAAGUCUAGCCAUCAAUGACGUUGGAUUUUGAACCUAUAACCGUGUUGGACCUUGUGCCACCAACUGAAGGACGACUGUUUCAAAUUAAGACAUCAGAAGAUCUCCGCUCCAUGUUCAACUAAUGAAGUGACAUUGUAUUUUGGAGGCUAAUAAUUAUAAACUUGUGCUUUUUGUUAGAGUGCCACCAACUCAAGGAGGACUGUGCCAUGUCUAGCCAUCAAAAUGAAUCCCCCUCCAAG